rnacentral:sRNA from 1 species
UACCACGUUGUUGUGGUAAUACCGAUGAAUGUAAACGAUGUUUGCACUUAUCGGGAAGGGUGAGAAUCUUCGACCAAGGUUCGAGUCGAGCGAAAGCGAGACAACGUUGCCGCAGGCAACGGCCCGAAGUGUGAGGAGCGAAGCGACGAAUAAUCCUU